GAUGAACGCUGGCGGCGUGCUUAACACAUGCAAGUCGAACGGGAAACCUUUUAUUGAAGCUUCGGCAGAUUUAGCUGGUUUCUAGUGGCGGACGGGUGAGUAACGCGUGGGUAACCUGCCUUGUACAGGGGGAUAACAGUCAGAAAUGACUGCUAAUACCGCAUAAGCGCACAGGACCGCAUGGUCCGGUGUGAAAAACUCCGGUGGUAUAAGAUGGACCCGCGUUGGAUUAGCUAGUUGGCAGGGUAACGGCCUACCAAGGCGACGAUCCAUAGCCGGCCUGAGAGGGUGAACGGCCACAUUGGGACUGAGACACGGCCCAGACUCCUACGGGAGGCAGCAGUGGGGAAUAUUGCACAAUGGGGGAAACCCUGAUGCAGCGACGCCGCGUGAAGGAAGAAGUAUCUCGGUAUGUAAACUUCUAUCAGCAGGGAAGAAA
rnacentral:rRNA from 1 species